AACGAACGCUGGCGGCGUGCCUAAUACAUGCAAGUCGACCUUAGGGGCGGACGGGUUAGUAAUACCUAGGAAUCUGCCUGGUAUUGGUGGUUAACGUCCGGAAACAGGCGCUAAUACCGCAUACUAUCAGAUGAGCCUAGGUCGGAUUAGCGAGUUGGUGGGUGAAAGGCCUACCAAGGCGACGAUCCGUAACUGGUCUGAGAGGAUGACCAGUAACACUGGAACUGAGACACGGUCCAGACUCCUACGGGAGGCAGCAGUGGGGAAUAUUGGACAAUGGGCGAAAGACUGAUCCAGCCAUGCCGCGUGUGUGAAGAAGGUCGUCGGAUUGUAAAGCACUUUAAGUUGGGAGGCGUUACCAACAGAAUAAGCACCGGCUAACUUCGUGCCAGCAGCCGCGGUAAUAC
rnacentral:rRNA from 1 species